rnacentral:rRNA from 1 species
AAUAGGGGACAAGGGGCAAAAGCCUGAUCCAGUCAUGCCGCGAUAGUGAAGAAGGUAUUAGGUAUGUAAAGCACUUUAUGUGGGGAGAAAGGGCAGUAAAUUAGUACCUUGCUUUUUUGACGUUACCUAUAGAAUAAGCACCGGCUAACUCCAUGCCCGCAGCCGCGGUAAUACAAAUGGUGCAAGCGUUAAUCGGAAUUACUGGGCGUAAAGCGCGCGUAGGUGGUUUGUUAAGUUGGCAGUGAAAGCCCCGGGAUCAGCCUGGGCACUGCUUUCAAAACUGGCAAGCUAGAGUAUAGCAGAGGGUGGUGGAAUUUACUGUGUAGCGGUGAAAUGCGUAGAUAUAGGAAGGAACACCACUGGCGAUGGCAACCACCUGGGCUAAUACUGACACUGAGGUGCGAAAGCGUGGGGAGCAAACAGG